rnacentral:lncRNA from 1 species
GGCUGGGAGAGAAAACUGAGUAAGGGGCAGUGACUGACUGUCAAUCUCUCCCGGGUUGGAAACGACCUGUUUUGACGGAAUGUAAAUGGGUUUUUGGUAACUCGUAUUUGUAAGCAGUAAAAUAUGUCUUGGGAAGAAAUGUGAGAAUAAUUUUGCAUUGCCCUUCCCGAAUUACAGCUUUCAAGAUUGUUUAGUUUUCCCGGUAGGAAACUUGACAUUGGGAAAGUUUGGCCCGAAUGCGCACAGAAAAAGCGCACCAUGUGUUUGGGGUGUGGGGAACAAGAUAUUUGCAAAUUUAAAAGACAACGUUUUAAAAUAUGAACAGAGGAAGAGGCGUAUUCUUUGGCUCUUAAAUCAUUUGGUCAAACACGUUGCAGUUCAGAAGGGGGUGGGGCUAUGGCAACUCGAAAGUAUUGAUUCUUUGUCUAUUGUAUCAGCGAAUGACCCUCUCCUGAUGUGACAAGACUCCUCUUUGUACUCUCUUUUCGUAAGUAAAUUUCAGUCUCAGGGGACAUUCAUAAACUAGGGAAUCGAGGUGGCUUUUUUUGGAUGUAAGUCGUUGUACAGUCACUGAGAGAGAAGAAAGGGGUUAAGAGGAAAGUAUUAAUGAAUUCGAUUCCAGUGAGUUCACAAAGUAAUGUGGAAGGACCUUCGCCUUUUGAUACCUAUGUUAUUUCGAAAGAACUUUGCUUUUCCUAAGGGAAUGUUAAAUUAGAAGUGAUUUUAACCUCUGAUGUGAUGACUCACAUAUUUGUGCAGGACAUAAAAUAUUUAAUUGGGAGAAAGUUACGGACUUCUAAAGUAUAAUCGUACAUUUGCUAAACAUGUUUUUUUUUUCUUUUUAAGGGCAACCAACGACGUUUUUCCUCCAUUAAUCCCAAAGGUCAAUGUAAA